rnacentral:rRNA from 1 species
UACGAAGGGGGAGCUAGCGUUGCUCGGAAUCACUGGGCGUAAAGGGUGCGUAGGCGGGUCUUUAAGUCAGGGGUGAAAUCCUGGAGCUCAACUCCAGAACUGCCUUUGAUACUGAAGAUCUUGAGUUCGGGAGAGGUGAGUGGAACUGCGAGUGUAGAGGUGAAAUUCGUAGAUAUUCGCAAGAACACCAGUGGCGAAGGCGGCUCACUGGCCCGAUACUGACGCUGAGGCACGAAAGCGUGGGGAGCAAACAGGG